rnacentral:rRNA from 1 species
AUGUCCGCCGAUUCUGUAGCCAUUUUCAUCCUAGGCCAUCUUUCUGUCCAUGCAAGCGGGCCACGCCACCAACUCCUUUUCUUGUGGGCACCCUUCGUGCUCCUUCACCUAGGCGGACAACAAACCAUCACUGCCUUCUCCAUGAAGGACAAUGAGCUGUGGAGGCGCCACCUGUUGGGAUUAGUCACCCAAGUAGUGGUGGCCGGCUAUGUCGUCACCAGGCCGUCUUGGGCGGAUAAGCGGCUCCUGGCUGCCAUGAUGCUUUUGUUCAUCUCUGGGUGCUUGAGGUACGGUGGACGUACCUUGUGCCUUUACAGAGCCAGCCCAGCGAAGCUCAAGGAAUUUUCAUUGGAUGCCUUGAGGAGCUACGUGCCAAAGGUUGAAAAAGAUGGCGAAGCUACUAGAAGUGGAUCUUUUUCUUCGGAUGGCUAUUAUGAAGAUACGAUUCAUAAGAUGCUUAUAGCCCAUAGGAGGGACCGUCCAUAUCAUGACUCAAUCUCGUCGAGUACUGCAGCACUCGUAUCUGAUACUCCACUGAGUGGUCCCCCUGCUGCUGAAGUUUCGCCUGACAUCAUAUUGCACAAGCUCCAAGUGUUCAAAGACAAUGCAGUCCGAACCAGGGCCUACUAUUACAUUGGCGAUCUGCUCGUUCAUAUAUACCAACGCCUCUACACCAAGGCUCCGCUUCAUUCUUUGUUGCGUCACAAGCUUUUUGUUAUCUUUCCCUUCGAGAUGAACGAAUCACGACCCGGUCGUCUUAGUAUAGCUAUUCUAUUUCAUCUAUCCUUUUCCUGCCUGCUUGUUAUCUUCCCCAUUAUUUCAACCUCGGCAACACUGGUGCUCGUUGCGGUUGCCCAAAAGAGCCAACUCUAUAGUCAAGCCGAUGUUAUUGUGUCCUACAUAUUGCUCAUAGGGGCCCUGGCCCUAGAUGUAGCAUCUGUCUUUGCAAUGAGUGAAGAGGCCUGCUAUUUGAUUCGGAGUCUAGCCAGGGGUAUUCUUCAUCCUUGGGGUGCAAGACAGUACUGGUCUGAGAUGGUAAGGCAGUACAAUAUGAUCAACAGCCUGACCAAAAAAGAUGCGACAAAAAUCAUGCCAUUUGUGGCUCAGUGGAUCAGUAAGCGUCUAGAUGACAAGACAGUAACUCACAUCCCCAUAAAUGAUAACCUCAAGAGGUUUGUCCUCGACAAAUUGUUGGAAUUUGGGACAAGGCAAGAAGACUGGAACUUUGCCAGCUUCCAUGGUCAAUUAGCACUUCGAGACUGGAGCCAUUGGCCAUCAUCUACAAGGGCCGAAACAUAUAUAUACAAGAGCAUCCAUGGUGAGGACUUCCCAACAACUGUGUUGAUCUGGCACAUUGCAACAGACAUAUUAUACCUCCAAGACGACACCAACAGUACUAAUUCUGAUCAGCAAACGAAGAAGGUGAGCAGAGAGCUAUCAAACUACAUCAUGUACCUCGUCUUCAAGUGUGGUGUGAUGCUUACAAACACCACCGAGCUCCAACACAACAAUGCUCUUAAGACCAUGGAGGCUCAUCGAGGUCUAGAUGAGCAGGAUGCCAUGGAGAAGGUAUUUCUAGAGAACCGAGUUCAGAUGAGUACACCGAAAACUCUCAUUUCUCCAGUGUUGCCUCGUGCAUGCAAGGUGGCCCAGGAGCUCAUUCACAUCCAUCGAGAAGUUGGUUGUUGGGACCUCAUUGCCGCAGUUUGGUUGGAGAUGAUUUGCUAUAUUGCGCCUCGUUGCGGAGGUGCUUUCCACUCUGAGCAUCUAGCCACCGGUGGAGAGUUAAUUACACAUGUCCUCCUCAUGCAACUUCUAGGUCCUUUCCUAAAACUGCAAGGUAUAUCAGAAAAUGAUGUUUUGAUCCCAAGCGAGAGUGUGCCACCUAUCUUAGCCGUGGAAAAGUCUAGAUUAGCAAUAGAUGUUAUGUUCACUAUGGUAUAUGGGGCAACAAAUGUGGUACUAUAUGUUAAUUAUUUGGUAUUUUUGGAAAGGGAGUGA